AGAGUUUGAUCCUGGCUCAGGAUGAACGCUGGCGGCGUGCCUAAUACAUGCAAGUCGAACGGAGAGUCUUUGUAGUAAUACGAAGGCUUCUUAGUGGCGAACGGGUGAGUAACGCGUUGGUGACCUGCCCCGGAGUGUGGGAUAACAGCCCGAAAGGGUUGCUAAUACCGCAUGUGGUUUUCGGUUUUAGAAACCGACUUCGAAAGGAGUAAUCCGCUCUGGGAUGGGCCUGCGUCCCAUCAGCUAGUUGGUAGGGUAAUGGCCUACCAAGGCUAUGACGGGUAAGGGGCCUGAGAGGGUGACCCCUCACAAUGGAACUGAAACACGGUCCAUACACCUACGGGUGGCAGCAGUAGGGAAUAUUGGGCAAUGGGCGAAAGCCUGACCCAGCAACGCCGCGUGUGCGAUGAAGGUCUUCGGAUCGUAAAGCACUUUUCUGGGAGAUGAGAAAGGACAGUAUCCCAGGAAUAAGCCUCGGCUAACUACGUGCCAGCAGCCGCGGUAAUACGUAGGAGGCGAGCGUUAUCCGGAUUUACUGGGCGUAAAGCGCGUGCAGGCGGUUCGGCAAGUUGGAUGUGAAAGCUCCCGGCUCAACUGGGAGAGGUCGUUCAAUACUACCGAACUAGAGGACAUCAGAGGAAGGUGGAAUUCCGGGUGUAGUGGUGAAAUGCGUAGAUAUCCGGAGGAACACCAGUGGCGAAGGCGGCCUUCUGGGAUGUGCCUGACGCUCAGACGCGAAGGCUAGGGUAGCAAACGGGAUUAGAGACCCCGGUAGUCCUAGCAGUAAACGAUGUAGACUUGGCGUCGGUGGGUUAAAAACCAUCGGUGUCGAAGCUAACGCGAUAAGUCUACCGCCUGGGAACUACGGCCGCAAGGUUAAAACUCAAAGGAAUUGACGGGGACCUAUCGUGACUGGGAAACAGAUCGGAAGAGCACACGUCUGAACUCCAGUCACUAAUGCGCAUCUCGUAUGCCGGCUUCUGCU
rnacentral:rRNA from 1 species